GAUGAACGCUGGCGGCGUGCCUAAUACAUGCAAGUCGAACGGACGGGCGAGGAUCUUACUUCUCUGAUGUUAGCGGCGGGCGGGUAAGUCACACGUGGAUAGCCUUGCUCUAAGGCUGGGGUCACUUCGAGAAACCGGAGCUAAUACCAGAUGAUAUUUUGAGCGGCAUGGUUCAAAAGUGAAAGACGGUCUUGCUGUGACUGAGACAUGUAUCCGCGCUGCAUUAGCUAGUUGGUAAGGUAACGGCUUACCAAGGCAAGGAUGGAUAGCCGACCUGCGAGGGUGAUAGGCCACACGGGAGCUGAGACACGGUCCAGACUCCUACGGGAGGCAGCAGUAGGGAAUCUGCCGCAAUGGGCGAAAGCCUGACGGAGCAACGCCGCGUGAGUGAUGAAGGUCUUCGGAGCGUAAAACUCUGUUAUUAGGGAAGAACAUAUGUGUAAGUAACUGUGCACAUCGUGACGGUACCUAAACAGAAAGCCACGGCUAACUACGUG
rnacentral:rRNA from 1 species